AGCCAUUAAUUCCAUCACUCUAGAAUAAGGGUCUGCUGUAUGAUCAGCCAGAUGCUGGGUAAUGGUGGGGAACAUAAAAGCAACAUAAGGAAGGCUUGGUCAUUAUCCUUUAGGAAUUCAAAACAUCAAUUCAGUAGACCUUUAUUGAAUGCCUACUAUGAGCUUAGCUUUAGGAACAGAGAGAGAAAUUCAUUCACUCACAGAAAACAACUAGAGAAAAGUAAGCGAUCAUUUCAGUCUAGCCACACUGGCCUACUUGCUGGACACCAAGUUCCAUCUUCUAUUUCUGCCCCUGUGUCUGGAUUGCUCUCCCUCUACUGUGCCUUGUAGUUUCCAUGGAUUCCUUCAUGACUCAACGGCCUUCUACAGGAGGUUUUCCCCCCAUCCUGGGCCUACUCUUCUGAGAUUACUUUUGUAUAUGCGAUCGUCAGUUAUUUUCAUAUUGUCUGUUCCAUUAGAAUGAGAAUUCCUAAAGGGAAGGAUUUUUGUUGUUGUUGUUUUUAAUUUAGUACUCCUGGGACUUACUUAGCACAGUGCUUGGCACAUAAUAAAUGCUUGUUGACUGACUGGCUAGUGCUUUAGGAAUUCAGAGGAGGGAAAAACUGUUUUGGACUAAAACAGUCUGUGAAGGCACAUGAAGGCAACAGACCUUAAGCUAGGCUUCUAAGGAAGGAAUAAGUAAGAGGGAGGAGGAGGGAGAGGCCAUUUCAUUCAGGAGAACAACAAUCUCAAGGCCAUAGGAGAACGUUGCAUGAAGAAAAGGGAGCUAAGAGAUAGGAAAGGGCCAAAUUGUGGAGGCUCUUGAAGGGCAUCUUUUUUUCAUUUUCUUUUUUGCUCCCAUUUCCCUAGAGUAAAAGAGAUACCUUGGCCGUACCUCCUGAACAGCCUUAACUCAUCCUUAGGGUUGGGGCAGUACCCAGUGGUGUGGGGAUAUGUAUAGACCCUCUUUCCAGUGUAUCCAGGAUAGCCAAACUGUUCACCACUUGUUAAAAGCUUCGGCCCCCCUCAGAGAGGGGAGAAAUGAACAGAUGUUUCCAUGAAUCAGGAAAACAGUGUUGGUUCCCAGAUGGGCUCAUCUAGAAAGCCUUGUCUCUUUCUUUCUCUCUGAAGCCUCUUAUAACAAGGUCUUUCUUUUUGGAGAGCAGCUGAUCUGCAGUUUGCAAGGCGAGCAGAGCUUUGUUGUUGUGGGGGCAUCAGUCAAGCCCCCUCACCCAUCCGGUUUCCCUGAAAGCCUUUACAUGGCAGGUCAUGCCAAGCAGAGAUCUAAAAUGGUGACUUGUCAUUCCUGGUGACCAAAGCCAUUUAAUAGCUACUUCCUUGUCAGAGGACUCCUUCUAGCUGAGUGAGGGAUCAUGGGCUUAGAAAGAAAUCUUGCCUAUGGGUCUUAUCUUUUUCUCUCUAUUUUAAAAAAAAUACCAACUUGCAUUUCUAUGGUGAAUGUGAGCUCCUUGAGGGCCAGAAUUGUUUUUUUUUUAAUCGCUAUAUCCCUAUUAUCUAGCACAUAUUAGGUUUUUGAUAAAUAUAUGUUUAAUUGUGGUUUUUAUUUUACAUUUCCCAAAGGGAUUUCAAAUAUGGGCACUUCAUUUGAUAGCAAGGAUCUUCCUCAGAGAUCAUUUAAUUUCAGGAUUUGCCACUAAAACUAGAAAUCCAAGGGUUCUUUGAAUCCUAAAUCUAAGCACAAAAACCAACCCACUAGAAAUAUCCUAGAGAGGAAAAAAAAUAGAAAAAAAAAUCUCAAAUAGAAGCUUCACUGAGAACCACGAGCCAAAAUGAAUGCUGGGAUAUAGUAAACAGGGGGAUGGGAGAAGGGUUUGGAUUUGGGAAGGGUGCCAGCUAUAAAGGGAAGUACCCUAAGUCAGAGUGCUUUAGGAGGGACUGGUAAGCAAAGGGUAAUUGUGAUACUCUGUCUGCCUGCCUCAGGCUCAGGAAGACAGGAACCUGUGUUUUUUUUUUCCUCCAGACUGUUAAGAUAGAAAAUUCCCAGAGAACACAUUUCUAGCAAGAUGAGUGACCUGAUACCCUGUAAUUUCCUGGCUCACAAAGACAAAAGAAGGCUUGACUUUGUGUUCUUCAUGUCUCACUCCUGUGCAAGUCUGAAACAGUUGGGUGGCACUCCCUAAGUUUCUCUGUGGAAGUCACCUUCUGCCCUUCAGAGGUGCAGGUGAGCAGAUCUCUCUUGGACAUAAAAAAGGAAAGAAGAAAAUAGGGCUUGAGAAGAAAGAUCAGUUCUGGAUUUGGAUAUGUAAAAAUCCACAAAGAGGUUUAUUUGGAGCACCAAAAUCCACGGGUCUCAGAUCUGAAGAAAGACCAUUUCCAGGAGCAGAGAUUCAGGCUGCAGAAGAUCAGCAUCAAAUCAGGAUAUAAUAUGACAGGCCAUGGAAGAGUUGGUUAUUACUGUGAUCAAUCAGCCUUCUUAAAGUUCGAUUCUUAUAAAAGGUGUGCCAUUGUGCAGGUUCUGGGUCAUAAUCACUUUGUUUUCUCCUGCUUCCACUGUGUCAUUAAUAUCAUGUAAGUAUGGUAGAAUAUGCAAUUAAGAUCCAUGUAACACACUAAGAAUAAAACUCAACCUAUAAUACUCUUUUGGGGAUGGAUAAACCCCCAGGUUUUAUUGAGGGUCUUCUGACUCUUGAUUAAGUAGAUCUCUUGUUGAGGUGAUAUGCCUUGUUAGGGAGAAUCAUUAAAGGACCAAACUAAGCAUGUAGCUUAAACAAAAAUAGCUUAGAAAGCUUAUAGUAAAGGGGCAGCUGGAUGACACAGUGGAUAGUAUAUCAGUCCUGGAGUCAGGAGGACCUGAGUCCAAAUCUGAUACUUGAUACUUCCUAGAUGUGGAUCCUGAGCAAGUCACUUAACCCUGAUUGUGAGAGAGAGAGAGACAGAGACA